UGGGCAUAGUGGUAUGCACCUGUAGUCUCAGCCACUCAAGAGACCAAGGUGGGAGGAUCGCUUGAGUUCAAGAGUUCUAGACUGUAGUAUGCUGUGCUGAUCAGGUGUCCACACUAAGUUCAGCAUCAUGUGGUGACAUUCCGGGAGUGCUGUGACCACCAGGUUGCCUAAAGAGGGGUAAACCGGCCCAGGUCAGAAGUGGAGCAGGUCAGAACUCCCAUACUGAUCAGUAGUGGGAUUGCAACUGAACAGCCACUGCCCUCCAACCUGAGCAACAAAGCAAGAGCCUGUCUCU
rnacentral:SRP_RNA from 1 species